GACGAACGCUGGCGGCGUGCUUAACACAUGCAAGUCGAACGAUGAUGCUCCAGCUUGCUGGGGUGGAUUAGUGGCGAACGGGUGAGUAACACGUGAGUAACCUGCCCCCUUCUUCGGGAUAAGCUUGGGAAACUGGGUCUAAUACUGGAUAUUCUGCAAUUGUCGCAUGGUGGUUGUGGGAAAGAUUUUUUGGUGGGGGAUGGGCUCGCGGCCUAUCAGCUUGUUGGUGGGGUGAUGGCCUACCAAGGCGUCGACGGGUAGCCGGCCUGAGAGGGUGACCGGGCACACUGGGACUGAGAUACGGCCCAGACUCCUACGGGGGGCAGCAGUGGGGAAUAUUGCACAAUGGGCGCAAGCUUGAUGCAGCGACGCCGCGUGAGGGAUGACGGCUUUCGGGUUGUAAACCUCUUUCGAUGGGGAACAAGGCCAUAUUUUUGUGUGGUUGAGGGUACCUGUAUAAGAAGCGCCGGCUAACUACGUG
rnacentral:rRNA from 1 species